rnacentral:rRNA from 1 species
UACGGGGGGGGGUAAGCGUUGUUCGGAAUUACUGGGCGUAAAGCGCACGUAGGCGGCGAUUCAAGUCAGAGGUGAAAGCCCCGGGGGCUCAACCCCCGGAACUGCCUUUGAAAACUAGAUUUGCUAGAAUCCUGGAGAGGUGAGUGGAAUUCCGAGUGUAGAGGUGAAAAUUCGUAGAUAUUCGGAAGAACACCAGUGGCGAAGGCGACUCACUGGACAGGUAUUGACGCUGAGGUGCGAAAAGCGUGGGGAGCAAACAGG